CGCUAUCACUCCUACGGGGAGGCAGCAGUAGGGAAUCUUCCACAAUGGGCGCAAGCCUGAUGGAGCAACACCGCGUGAGUGAAGAAGGGUUUCGGCUCGUAAAGCUCUGUUGUUAAAGAAGAACACGUAUGAGAGUAACUGUUCAUACGUUGACGGUAUUUAACCAGAAAGUCACGGCUAACUACGUGCCAGCAGCCGCGGUAAUACGUAGGUGGCAAGCGUUAUCCGGAUUUAUUGGGCGUAAAGAGAGUGCAGGCGGUUUUCUUAAGUCUGAUGUGAAAGCCUUCGGCUUAACCGGAGAAGUGCAUCGGAAACUGGAUAACUUGAGUGCAGAAGAGGGUAGUGGAACUCCAUGUGUAGCGGUGGAAUGCGUAGAUAUAUGGAAGAACACCAGUGGCGAAGGCGGCUACCUGGUCUGCAACUGACGCUGAGACUCGAAAGCAUGGGUAGCGAACAGGAUUAGAUACCCUGGUAG
rnacentral:rRNA from 1 species